GAACUAAGAAGUGCCAGAAGGACUUUCAUGAGAGGAAGUAAAGAUUUUCUCUUAAGUUGUUAGGGCAUUCUUCACUUCCCAUCCAGAAUCAGUUGCUCAAAAACCUUUGUCAUGUUGUUGUGUUUCACUCCAUGGCAUGUCAUGUUCAUCAGGCAUUUUAUGCAACUGCUGCUGUGCUGCAAUAUGUUGUAUCUCAAUUGAACCUCAAGAACUGGAGUAACAGAAUUCCUAGACGUAUCCCUCCCGCGC